rnacentral:rRNA from 1 species
AUGAACGCUGGCGGCGCGCCUAACACAUGCAAGUCGAACGGCACCCCUCUCCGGAGGGAAGCGAGUGGCGAACGGCUGAGUAACACGUGGAGAACCUGCCCCCUCCCCCGGGAUAGCCGCCCGAAAGGACGGGUAAUACCGGAUACCCCGGGGUGCCGCAUGGCACCCCGGCUAAAGCCCCGACGGGAGGGGAUGGCUCCGCGGCCCAUCAGGUAGACGGCGGGGUGACGGCCCACCGUGCCGACAACGGGUAGCCGGGUUGAGAGACCGACCGGCCAGAUUGGGACUGAGACACGGCCCAGACUCCUACGGGAGGCAGCAGUGGGGAAUCUUGCGCAAUGGGGGGAACCCUGACGCAGCGACGCCGCGUGCGGGACGGAGGCCUUCGGGUCGUAAACCGCUUUCAGCAGGGAAGAGUCAAGACUGUACCUGCAGAAGAAGCCCCGGCUAACUACGUGCCAGCAGCCGCGGUAAUACGUAGGGGGCGAGCGUUAUCCGGAUUCAUUGGGCGUAAAGCGCGCGUAGGCGGCCCGGCAGGCCGGGGGUCGAAGCGGGGGGCUCAACCCCCCGAAGCCCCCGGAACCUCCGCGGCUUGGGUCCGGUAGGGGAGGGUGGAACACCCGGUGUAGCGGUGGAAUGCGCAGAUAUCGGGUGGAACACCGGUGGCGAAGGCGGCCCUCUGGGCCGAGACCGACGCUGAGGCGCGAAAGCUGGGGGAGCGAACAGGAUUAGAUACCCUGGUAGUCCCAGCCGUAAACGAUGGACGCUAGGUGUGGGGGGACGAUCCCCCCGUGCCGCAGCCAACGCAUUAAGCGUCCCGCCUGGGGAGUACGGCCGCAAGGCUAAAACUCAAAGGAAUUGACGGGGGCCCGCACAAGCAGCGGAGCAUGUGGCUUAAUUCGAAGCAACGCGAAGAACCUUACCAGGGCUUGACAUAUGGGUGAAGCGGGGGAGACCCCGUGGCCGAGAGGAGCCCAUACAGGUGGUGCAUGGCUGUCGUCAGCUCGUGUCGUGAGAUGUUGGGUUAAGUCCCGCAACGAGCGCAACCCUUAUGGUCAGUUACUACGCAAGAGGACUCUGGCCAGACUGCCGUUGACAAAACGGAGGAAGGUGGGGACGACGUCAAAUCAUCAUGCCCUUUAUGUCUUGGGCUACACACGUACUACAAUGGCUAUAACAAAGAGAAGCGAGACAGUGAUGUGGAGCAAAACUCAAAAAAAUAGUCUCAGUUCGGAUUGAAGGCUGAAAUUCGCCUUCAUGAAGCUGGAAUUGCUAGUAAUGGCAGGUCAGCAUACUGCCGUGAAUACGUUCCCGGGCCUUGUACACACCGCCCGUCACACCAUGGGAGUCAGCAACGCCCGAAGUCAGUGACUCAACCGCAAGGAGAGAGCUGCCGAAGGCGGGGCAGGUAACUGGGGUG